rnacentral:snoRNA from 1 species
AACCCAUGAUGAGGACACCUUUUCAAAAGAUCAUUAAAUCUCUUAUAUGCAUCAUAUAAUGUCUCCAAAUCAAUUUAAGAAAAAAAAAGGGAUGUCAUUCCUCAACUU